GAUGAACGCUGGCGGCGUGCCUAAUACAUGCAAGUCGAGCGGUAAGGCCCCUUCGGGGGUACACGAGCGGCGGACGGGUGAGUAAUACGUAGGAAUAUACCCCAGAGUGAGGGAUAACUGGCCGAAAGGUCAGCUAAUACCGCAUACACUCUACGGAGCAAAGCAGCAAUGCGCUUUGGGAAUAGCCUGCGUCCGAUUAGCUAGUUGGUAGGGUAAUGGCCUACCAAGGCGACGAUCGGUAGCUGUUCUGAGAGGAUGAUCAGCCACACUGGAACUGAGACACGGUCCAGACUCCUACGGGAGGCAGCAGUAGGGAAUUUUCCACAAUGGGCGAAAGCCUGAUGGAGCAACGCCGCGUGCAGGAUGAAGGCCUUCGGGUUGUAAACUGCUUUUAUCUGUGACGAUGAUGACAGUAGCAGAUGAAUAAGGAUCGGCUAACUCCGUGCCAGCCGCCGCAGUAA
rnacentral:rRNA from 1 species